AGAUUUGUCUCCAGGGCAAACAUCUCUUUAGCUACACACCUGCCUCGAAGAAACCUCCCAUUUCAAACUCUAUGUGUUGUGACAGUGCCUGGGACGACAAUCUUAUUGCAGAGUUGAAGGUGUGACAAAAGAAACCGAAUGGGCGUAUUUAGUAAGAAUCAGUAACUGGAACAACAGGUUGCUGAAACAUGUGCAAAGCUGCAAAAGGCCUUUGUCCAAAUCUUCAGGCUUGCUGUUAUCUUCCUGAGAGGGCCUUCAAAGCACCUGGAAAUUUCCAGUAUGAGGGAAAGUUGUCUUUCCUGGGAAAGAAGACAAUUACUUUUUCCUAACAGUGCCACCUACACUUGCUAUCAGCUGGUUCUCUAACACCCGGAGAUUGGCCGUGUGAAGAGAAACUGAAGACCAAAGAGUUUCCAACAUUUUAUAUGAGAUUUUCUCAAUCUGAAAGUUUUGACAGGAUGCCAUUUUUGAAUACUUUUUAUGGAGCUUUAUUAUCUACAAGGUCUGUUCUUCUUCCUGUGAAAGAAGUGAAAAGCAAACAAUAAUAAGAUUUUCAUCUGAAAAUGACAU